rnacentral:rRNA from 1 species
UACGUAGGGGGCUAGCGUUGUCCGGAAUCAUUGGGCGUAAAGCGCGUGUAGGCGGUCCGGUAAGUCCGCUGUGAAAGUCGAGGGCUCAACCCUCGAAUGCCGGUGGAUACUGUCGGGCUUGAGUACGGGAGAGGCGAGUGGAAUUCCUGGUGUAGCGGUGAAAUGCGCAGAUAUCAGGAGGAACACCGUUUGCGAAGGCAGCUCGCUGGAACGUUACUGACGCUGAGACGCGAAAGCGUGGGGAGCAAACAGG